rnacentral:rRNA from 1 species
AUACGUAGGGAGCGAGCGUUGUCCGGAAUUACUGGGUGUAAAGGGAGCGUAGGCGGGAGUGCAAGUCAGAUGUGAAAUACAUGGGCUCAACCCAUGGGCUGCAUUUGAAACUGCAUUUCUUGAGUGAAGUAGAGGUAAGCGGAAUUCCUGGUGUAGCGGUGAAAUGGGUAGAUAUCAGGAGGAACACCGGUGGCGAAGGCGGCUUACUGGGCUUUUACCGACGCUGAGGCUCGAAAGCGUGGGGAGCAAACAGGAUUAGAUACCCUGGUAGUCUACGCUGUAAACGAUGAUUACUAGGUGUGGGGGGACUGACCCCUUCCGUGCCGCAGUUAACACAAUAAGUAAUCCACCUGGGGAGUACGGCCGCAAGGUUGAAACUCAAAUGAAUUGACGGGG